rnacentral:rRNA from 1 species
UACGAAGGGGGCUAGCGUUGCUCGGAAUCAUUGGGCGUAAAGCGCGCGUAGGCGGCUCGAUCAGUCUGUUGUGAAAGUCAAAGGCUCAACCUUUGAAUGCCGAUGGAUACUGUCGAGCUAGAGUCCGGAAGAGGCGGGUGGAAUUCCUGGGGUAGCGGUGGAAUGCGCAGAUAUCAGGAGGAACACCAACGGCGAAGGCAGCCCGCUGGGACGGUACUGACGCUAAGGCGCGAAAGCGUGGGGAGCGAACAGG